rnacentral:rRNA from 1 species
GAAUCCCGUCUUUGACACGGACUGCCUGUACAUUAUGGUGUGCUCUCGAAGAGUCGAGUUGUUUGGGAAUGCAGCUCAAAAUGGGUGGUAAAUGCCAUCUAAAGCUAAAUAUUGGCGAGAGACCGAUAGCGAACAAGUACCGUGAGGGAAAGAUGAAAAGAACUUUGGAAAGAGAGUUAAACAGUACGUGGAAUUGCUGAAAGGGAAACGCUUGAAGUCAGUCGCGUUGGCUAGAAAUCAACCUUGCUUUUGCUUUGUGUACUUUCUGGUUGACGGGUCAGCAUCAAUUUUGACCACUGGAUAAAGUCUUUGGGAAUGUGGCAUCUUUGGAUGUGUUAUAGCCCAUUGUCGCAUACGGUGGUUGGGAUUGAGGAACUCAGCACGCCGCAAGGCCGGGUUUCGACCACGUUCGUGCUUAGGAUGCUGGCAUAAUGGCUUUAAUCGACCCGUCUUGAAACACGGACCAAGGAGUCUAACAUGCCUGCGAGUGUUUGGGUGGAAAAACCCAUGCGCGCAAUGAAAGUGAAAGUUGAGAUCCUCUUCAAAGGGGGAGCAUUGACGCCCGGACCAGACCUUUUGUGACGGAUCCGCGGUAGAGCAUGCAUGUUGGGACCCGAAAGAUGGUGAACUAUGCCUGAAUAGGGUGAAGCCAGAGGAAACUCUGGUGGAGGCUCGUAGCGAUUCUGACGUGCAAAUCGAUCGUCAAAUUUGGGUAUAGGGGCGAAAGACUAAUCGAACCAUCUAGUAGCUGGUUCCUGCC